CCUACGGGUGGCAGCAGUGAGGAAUAUUGGUCAAUGGACGAGAGUCUGAACCAGCCAAGUAGCGUGAAGGAUGACUGCCCUAUGGGUUGUAAACUUCUUUUAUAAAGGAAUAAAACGAGGCACGUGUGCCUUUUUGCAUGUACUUUAUGAAUAAGGAUCGGCUAACUCCGUGCAAGCAGCCGCGGUAAUACGGAGGAUCCGAGCGUUAUCCGGAUUUAUUGGGUUUAAAGGGAGCGUAGAUGGGUUGUUAAGUCAGUUGUGAAAGUUUGCGGCUCAACCGUAAAAUUGCAAUUGAUACUGGCAGUCUUGAGUACAGUUGAGGUAAGCGGAAUGCGUGGUGUAGCAGUGAAAUGCUUAGAUAUCACGAAGAACCCCGAUUGCGAAGGCAGCUUACUAAACUGUGACUGACAUUGAUGCUCGAAAGUGUGGGUAUCAAACAGGAUUAGAUACCCCAGUAGUC
rnacentral:rRNA from 1 species